rnacentral:tRNA from 1 species
GCUCCCAUGGCGUAGUGGCUCGUGCGCUCGCCUUGCACGCGGGAGACUCGGGUUCGAUUCCCGGCGGGGUCA